rnacentral:rRNA from 1 species
UCCUACGGGAGGCAGCAGAGGGGAAUUUUGGACAAUGGGCGCAAGCCUGAUCCAGCAAUGCCGCGUGAGUGAAGAAGGCCUUCGGGUUGUAAAGCUCUUUUGUCAGGGAAGAAACGGUGAGUCCUAAUAUGGCUUGCUAAUGACGGUACCUGAAGAAUAAGCACCGGCUAACUACGUGCCAGCGGCCGCGGUAAUACGUAGGGUGCAAGCGUUAAUCGGAAUUACUGGGCGUAAAGCGUGCGCAGGCGGUUAUAUAAGUCAGAUGUGAAAUCCCCGGGCUCAACCUGGGAACUGCAUUUGAGACUGUAUGGCUAGAGUGUGUCAGAGGGGGGUAGAAUUCCACGUGUAGCAGUGAAAUGCGUAGAUAUGUGGAGGAAUACCGAUGGCGAAGGCAGCCCCCUGGGAUAACACUGACGCUCAUGCACGAAAGCGUGGGGAGCAAACAGGAUUAGAUACCCUGGUAGUCCACGCCCUAAACGAUGUCUACUAGUUGUCGGGACUUAAUUGUCUUGGUAACGCAGCUAACGCGUGAAGUAGACCGCCUGGGGAGUACGGUCGCAAGAUUAAAACUCAAAUGAAUUGACGGA